GACGAACCGAGCGAACGUUGUUCGGAAUCACUGGGCUUAAAGGGCGCGUAGGCGGGUGCUCAAGUCCGGGGUGAAAUCCCACAGCUCAACUGUGGAAUUGCCUCGGAUACUGGGCGUCUCGAGGGUGGCAGGGGUAUGCGGAACUAUCGGUGGAGCGGUGAAAUGCGUUGAUAUCGAUAGGAACUCCGGUGGCGAAGGCGGCAUACUGGUCCACUUCUGACGCUGAGGCGCGAAAGCCAGGGGAGCGAACGGG
rnacentral:rRNA from 1 species